rnacentral:rRNA from 2 species
UUUAUAUGAGAGUUUGAUCCUGGCUCAGGAUGAACGCCGGCGGUGUGCCUAAUACAUGCAAGUCGUACGCACUGGCCCAACUGAUUGAUGGUGCUUGCACCGGAUUGACGUUGGAUCACCAGUGAGUGGCGGACGGGUGAGUAACACGUAGGUAACCUGCCCGGAGCGGGGGAUAACAUUUGGAAACAGAUGCUAAUACCGCAUAACAACAAAAGCCACAUGGCUUUUGUUUGAAAGAUGGCUUUGGCUAUCACUCUGGGAUGGACCUGCGGUGCAUUAGCUAGUUGGUAAGGUAACGGCUUACCAAGGCGAUGAUGCAUAGCCGAGUUGAGAGACUGAUCGGCCACAAUGGAACUGAGACACGGUCCAUACUCCUACGGGAGGCAGCAGUAGGGAAUCUUCCACAAUGGGCGCAAGCCUGAUGGAGCAACACCGCGUGAGUGAAGAAGGGUUUCGGCUCGUAAAGCUCUGUUGUUGGAGAAGAACGUGCGUGAGAGUAACUGUUCACGCAGUGACGGUAUCCAACCAGAAAGUCACGGCUAACUACGUGCCAGCAGCCGCGGUAAUACGUAGGUGGCAAGCGUUAUCCGGAUUUAUUGGGCGUAAAGCGAGCGCAGGCGGUUGCUUAGGUCUGAUGUGAAAGCCUUCGGCUUAACCGAAGAAGUGCAUCGGAAACCGGGCGACUUGAGUGCAGAAGAGGACAGUGGAACUCCAUGUGUAGCGGUGGAAUGCGUAGAUAUAUGGAAGAACACCAGUGGCGAAGGCGGCUGUCUGGUCUGCAACU